rnacentral:rRNA from 1 species
UAUCUCUGUAGAGUCUGCAUAUCAAUAAGCGGAGGAAAAGAAACUAACUAGGAUUCCCUCAGUAACGGCGAGUGAAGCGGGAAGAGCUCAAAUUUGAAAUCUUCAAGGUUCUACCUUGACGAAUUGUAGUUUAAAGAAGUGUUUUCUGUUGGUGUUUUGGUAAAAGUUCUUUGGAAUAGGACAUCAUAGAGGGUGAGAACCCCGUAUUUGACCAUUACUUCCAGCGUUGUGAUACACUUUCAAAGAGUCGGAUUGUUUGGGAAUGCAGUCCAAAAUGGGUGGUAAAUUUCAUCUAAAGCUAAAUAUUGGCGAGAGACCGAUAGCGAACAAGUACCGUGAGGGAAAGAUGAAAAGAACUUUGAAAAGAGAGUUAAACAGUACGUGAAAUUGUCAAAAGGGAAGCGUUUGACACCAGUGUUGUUUUCUCGAAAAUCAAUUAAAAAAGGCAGGACUUUGUGUUGUAUUGACUUUAUCAGCUUUCUACACUCUUUUCUUGUCUUUUUUUAAUGCACUUUUCGUUUAACAAGUCAACAUCAAUUUCUUUUGUUGUAAAAGAGUCAUUGGAAGGUGGCUUUCACUUCGGUGAAAGUGUUUAUAGCCUUUGGCUUCUGCAAUCGGAGAGAUUGAGGUCUGCAGCGUAGAUCCUUCGGGGCUAGAUACGUAGAUGCUAAGUUAUAGUUUUUUAUAGACAACUUGUUGACUAUAAUUAAUCAUGUAGCUUACUCGUUUGCGCUAUUUUACCUACGCUUAGGAUGUUGACGAUCAGCUGAGCGCG